rnacentral:rRNA from 1 species
UACGUAGGGGGCAAGCGUUGUUCGGAAUUACUGGGCGUAAAGGGCGCGCAGGCGGCUAUCCAAGUCAGGCGUGAAAGCCCUGGGCUUAACCUAGGAAGUGCAUUCGAAACUUCUGAGCUUGAGUUCUGGAGAGGAAGGCGGAAUUCUCGGUGUAGAGGUGAAAUUCGUAGAUAUCGAGAGGAACACCGGUGGCGAAGGCGGCCUUCUGGACAGUGACUGACGCUGAGACGCGAAAGCGUGGGGAGCAAACAGG